CCCUCGAUAGCUCAGUUGGCAUAGCGGAGGACUGUAGAUGUUACAACGGUGAUCCUUAGGUCGCUGGUUCAAAUCCGGCUCGAGGGA
rnacentral:tRNA from 1 species